AUGGACUUCUCUAAUUUUCUUGUCACGCUGCUGCUGGUAUGUCUUCUCACCUAUGAAUCCUAUGUCGAAGCAGCAUCGGUGGACCAAGAUUUCUUAAGAACUUGUCCAUCUCACCGAUGCAACAAACAUGGACCCGAGAUCCGGUUCCCCUUCCGGCUUUCGACCGACCCACCAUCGUGUGGCGCCCAAGGCAUGCAGUUAUCGUGCUCCGGGGAUGACACAAUCCUGGAUCACCAUGUUCUUGGCUCCUGCAGAGUUACUGAGAUCUAUUACAGGCACCGUGUCAUCAACGUCAUCCCGCUUGUGGAACCAUCGAUGCAAUGCCCAGUUCAGAAGCUCAUCUCAACAAACUUAGCAAAUGAUGUGUACAAACAACCUCAAUCAUCACAAGUUACAACCCUGGUACAUUGUUCAAGAGGUUUCACACCAGUAGAUCAAUAUAGUAUAGUAGGCCCAGCCUCUUGUCUCAGUAACAACACUAGGCAAUUCUGGUAUUUGGCAUCAGCUUCCGCAUACAUGUCUGACCUUCCACGGGACUGCAUGGCCAUUUCUAAAGGCAUCUCGAUACCCUUCACCUAUGAUAAGAGAGGGCCAAACUCAGAUGACUUUGCUUUCAACAAAAGAGGAAAUGCAGUCAUCAACUUUGGUGAAACAACAUUCACUUGGCACCUCAAUAACAUUACAGAUGUCUGCCAACAGUGUGAACAUGAAGGUCGACACUGUGGAUUCAGCUCACGAAGGCGUCAAGCAUUUUGCCAGCACCAUGGUAUACAGGUCAUCCCAAUUGCAGCAUCAUCUGUCGCUGCAUUUGUAGUUCUUUCAUUGAUGGUGACCACCGCGAUCUAUCUCUCCUUGAAGUCAAGGUACAAUGAAGAAAUAAAUAUGAAAGUCGAAAUGUUUCUCAAGGCAUAUGGCACAUCAAAACCCACAAGGUACACUUUCCCUGAAGUUAAGAAGAUAGCAAGACGGUUCAAGGAUAAACUAGGCCAGGGUGGAUUUGGAAGUGUAUACAAAGGCGAGCUACAAAAUGGAGUGCCUGUGGCAGUCAAGAUGCUAGAGAGCUCUAAAGGAGAGGGAGAGGAAUUCAUCAAUGAAGUUGCAACCAUUGGACUAAUCCACCAUGCAAAUAUUGUCCGCCUCAUGGGCUUUUGCUAUGAAGGAACAAGACGGGCGCUGAUUUAUGAAUACAUGCCUAAUGAGUCACUGGAAAAAUACAUAUUCUCACAUGUUUCUAACAUUUCUCGACAACUACUAGCACCCACCAAAAUGGUAGAUAUUGCUUUAGGUAUUGCCCGAGGAAUGGAAUACCUACAUCAAGGCUGCAACCAACGCAUUCUCCACUUUGAUAUCAAGCCACACAACAUUUUGCUAGACUACAACUUCAAUCCUAAGAUUUCAGACUUUGGCCUUGCAAAACUGUGUGCAAGGGACCAAAGCAUCGUUACCUUGACUGCAGCAAGAGGCACGAUGGGAUACAUCGCACCGGAGCUAUACUCUCGGAACUUUGGAGGGGUAUCGUACAAGUCAGAUGUGUACAGUUUUGGCAUGCUGGUAUUGGAAAUGGUGAGCGGGCGGAGGAAUUCAGACCCAAGUGUUGAGAACCAGCAUGAGGUAUACCUCCCAGAGUGGAUUUACGAGAAAGUAACCACUGAGCAGGAAUUGGUCGUUUCUUUGGAAAUGACAGCAGAAGACAAAGAAAAGAUGAGGCAGCUGACUAUCGUGGCACUGUGGUGUAUCCAAUGGAACCCGAAGAAUCGGCCAUCAACGACAAAGGUGGUAAACAUGUUAACAGGGAGGUUGCAGAAUCUGCAGAUCCCCCCUAAGCCCUAUGUGUCGUCUGAAAAUCGUCCUAUGCCACAAAACACGACGAACACAUGA
rnacentral:rRNA from 1 species